rnacentral:rRNA from 1 species
GACCAGACUCCUACGGGAGGCAGCAGUGGGGAAUAUUGCACAAUGGGGGAAACCCUGAUGCAGCAACGCCGCGUGAGUGAGGAAGUAUUUCGGUAUGUAAAGCUCUAUCAGCAGGGAAUAGAAAAGAAGGUACCUGAAAAAGAAGCCCCGGCUAACUACGUGCCAGCAGCCGCGGUAAUACGUAGGGGGCAAGCGUUAUCCGGAUUUACUGGGUGUAAAGGGGGCGCAGACGGCAGCGCAAGCCAGGAGUGAAAGCCCGGGGCCCAACCCCGGGACUGCUCUUGGAACUGCGCGGCUGGAGUGCAGGAGGGGCAGGCGGAAUUCCUGGUGUAGCGGUGAAAUGCGUAGAUAUCAGGAGGAACACCGGUGGCGAAGGCGGCCACCUGGACGACAACUGACGCUGAGGUGCGAAAGCGUGGGUAGCAAACAGGAUUAGAUACCCUGGUAA